UACGAAGGGGGCUAGCGUUGCUCGGAAUCACUGGGCGUAAAGGGUGCGUAGGCGGGUCUUUAAGUCAGGGGUGAAAUCCUGGAGCUCAACUCCAGAACUGCCUUUGAUACUUAAGAUCUUGAGUUCGGGAGAGGUGAGUGGAACUGCGAGUGUAGAGGUGAAAUUCGUAGAUAUUCGCAAGAACACCAGUGGCGAAGGCGGCUCACUGGCCCGGUACUGACGCUGAGGUGCGAAAGCGUGGGGAGCAAACAGG
rnacentral:rRNA from 1 species